CCUUUCGAGGUACGCUCAGAUCCAUGCAUGGCUGGAUUCCUCUGUUGGCCACAAGCAGUCUUUUACUAUUAUUCCUUGGGGAAAGAGCUUCAUCGGCACACCUAAGGCUUGGGGAGUGGAAGAACCUCAGGGUCACAAGCAUUCUUCCACUUGAUAUCGGCAAGCUUUAAUCCAAUUCCGCCUACUAUGCUCGUGUAUCCGGACUCGGAAAGUGCAAAAAACCAUCAUGCAAAUUCAGAGAUGGGUACCAGUUGUUCCCGUUGCCAAUCGAUCGUGGUUGGUACAGAUAAUAUUUUAACAUCAGCAAGCAAGAGGAUGAAUGGUUCACAUGGUAAAUUUUUACGACCAUUUUCAAAGUGGUUUUCUUCCUCAUUCCCGAUCUCCAUCUCCUAUUACCGAGAAGCAUUGAAGAAGCGCUAGAUCGUGGCAACGGUGCUUGUCCGGGAGGCGUAGAGGAUGUGUCAUCUUCUCGGUGUUCGUCGGUGGCGUGCGACAGUAGGCAUGUUCAUGGGAUCAUUGCGAUAUUGGUGUUCUCUACCGGAUCUACUGGAGAACAUCUUUCCCCCGUUUGAGCACUAUUCUGAUCGACCAAUCAUCCAAGGAAUACCCUCUACUAUUUUCCGCUGACCACCUGUUCGACGAAAUUCCAAGCCACUAACCAUCAUUUUUCCCCCAGUUAUUUCAUCAAACAGUAAGUGGUCUCUUAUGAAAUUGUUUUAAUUCAUUUGAUUGGUUUAUGUAUUCGUGUAACUGCUGCCGUUUGAAGUCCUUUCAAAAAAACUUUCAAGGUGAUUGUGAUUGCA